UUUCACUUUUUAUCAUGUGAAGGCUAGCAGGGAUCUCAAAUUCAUUAGUACAUCAAUGAGUGGAUGUUUUGCUUUAGGCGCAAUUGUAUUACUGCUCGUAAGAAGUCAAGGAUUAGGCUUAUUAGGCUGUUGGAGUGUCCUUGUUGGAUUUCAAUGGGCACGCUUCUUGAUUUCUCUUAGACGCCUUCUUUCUGCUAGUGGCGUACUAUUCUCAGAGGAUCUUGAUUGUUUGAG